rnacentral:rRNA from 1 species
UACGAAGGGGGCUAGCGUUGUUCGGAUUUACUGGGCGUAAAGCGCACGUAGGCGGAUCGUUAAGUCGGGGGUGAAAUCCUGGAGCUCAACUCCAGAACUGCCUUCGAUACUGGCGAUCUUGAGUCCGGAAGAGGUGAGUGGAACUCCUAGUGUAGAGGUGGAAUUCGUAGAUAUCGGGAAGAACACCUAUGGCGAAGGCAGCUCUCUGGGGCGGUACUGACGCUGAGACGCGAAAGCGUGGGGAGCGAACAGG